rnacentral:rRNA from 1 species
GAUGAACGCUGGCGGCGUGCCUAAUACAUGCAAGUCGAGCGAACAGACGAGGAGCUUGCUCCUCUGACGUUAGCGGCGGACGGGUGAGUAACACGUGGAUAACCUACCUAUAAGACUGGGAUAACUUCGGGAAACCGGAGCUAAUACCGGAUAAUAUAUUGAACCGCAUGGUUCAAUAGUGAAAGACGGUUUUGCUGUCACUUAUAGAUGGAUCCGCGCCGCAUUAGCUAGUUGGUAAGGUAACGGCUUACCAAGGCGACGAUGCGUAGCCGACCUGAGAGGGUGAUCGGCCACACUGGAACUGAGACACGGUCCCGACUCCUACGGGAGGCAGCAGUAGGGAAUCUUCCGCAAUGGGCGAAAGCCUGACGGAGCAACGCCGCGUGAGUGAUGAAGGUCUUCGGAUCGUAAAACUCUGUUAUUAGGGAAGAACAAAUGUGUAAGUAACUAUGCACGUCUUGACGGUACCUAAUCAGAAAGCCACGGCUAACUACGUG